ACAGAGGUGGCAAGCGUUGUUCGGAAUUACUGGGCGUAAAGGGCGCGUAGGCGGUCUUUUAAGUUCCGUGUGAAAUCCCUCGGCUCAACUGGGGAACGGCACGGGAAACUGGAAGGCUUGAGUUCGGUAGGGGAGACUGGAAUUCCUGGUGUAGCGGUGAAAUGCGCAGAUAUCAGGAGGAACACCGGUGGCGAAGGCGGGUCUCUGGGCCGAUACUGACGCUGAGGAGCGAAAGCGUGGGGAGCGAACAGGA
rnacentral:rRNA from 1 species